rnacentral:rRNA from 1 species
AUAUCAAUAAGCGGAGGAAAAGAAACUAACAAGGAUUCCCUCAGUAACGGCGAGUGAAGUGGGAAGAGCUCAAAUUUAAAAUCUGGCGUAAAAGCCCGAAUUGUAGUCUAAAGAGGCGUUAUCGGACGCGAGUCUGUCGUACAAGUUCCCUGGAAUGGGACAUCACAGAGGGUGAGAAUCCCGUCUGGACGAUGGAUGAGCGGACAUAUGAGACGUUCUCAAAGAGUCGAGUUGUUUGGGAUUGCAGCUCAAAAUGGGAGGUAAAUUUCUUCUAAGGCUAAAUAAUGGCAAGAGACCGAUAGCGCACAAGUA